rnacentral:rRNA from 1 species
GACGAACGCUGGCGGCGUGCUUAACACAUGCAAGUCGAACGGAAAGGCCCUGCUUUUGUGGGGUGCUCGAGUGGCGAACGGGUGAGUAACACGUGAGUAACCUGCCCUUGACUUUGGGAUAACUUCAGGAAACUGGGGCUAAUACCGGAUAGGAGCUCCUGCUGCAUGGUGGGGGUUGGAAAGUUUCGGCGGUUGGGGAUGGACUCGCGGCUUAUCAGCUUGUUGGUGGGGUAGUGGCUUACCAAGGCUGUGACGGGUAGCCGGCCUGAGAGGGUGACCGGCCACAUUGGGACUGAGAUACGGACCAGACUGCUACGGGAGGCAGCAGUGGGGAAUAUUGCACAAUGGGCGGAAGCCUGAUGCAGCAACGCCGCGUGCGGGAUGACGGCCUUCGGGUUGUAAACCGCUUUCGCCUGUGACGAAGCGUGAGUGACGGUAAUGGGUAAAGAAGCACCGGCUAACUACGUG